CUGGCUCAGGAUGAACGCUGGCGGCGUGCCUAACACAUGCAAGUCGAACGAAGCUUACUUGUUAGCUUGCUAAUGGGUAAGACUGAGUGGCGGACGGGUGAGUAACACGUGGGUAACCUACCUGGAAGACUGGGAUAACAGCUCGAAAGGGCUGCUAAUACCGGAUAAAGUGCCUUUGGAAUAAUUUAUGGGCACCAAAGCGUUAAGUAGUGCUUUCAGAUGGGCCCGCGGCCCAUUAGUUAGUUGGUGGGGUAAUGGCCUACCAAGGCGAUGAUGGGUAGCUGGUCUGAGAGGAUGGACAGCCACACUGGGACUGAGAACGGCCCAGACUCCUACGGGAGGCAGCAGUGGGGAAUAUUGCGCAAUGGGGGCAACCCUGACGCAGCGACGUCGUGUGAGUGAAGAAGGCUUUCGGGUUGUAAAGCUCUGUCUACGGGGAAGAUAAUGACGGUACCCGUGGAGGAAGCCCCGGCUAACUACGUGCCAGCAGCCGCGGUAAGACGUAGGGGGCGAGCGUUGUCCGGAAUUACUGGGCGUAAAGGGCGUGUAGGCGGCCCUGCAAGUCGAUGGUGAAAUUCCCCGGCUCAACUGGGGGCUUGCUGUUGAAACUGUA
rnacentral:rRNA from 1 species